AGGGAUCAGUGUCAUUUAGGGAUGUGACUAUGGGCUUCACUCAAGAGGAGUGGCAGCAUCUGGACCCUGCUCAGAGGACCCUGUACAGGAAUGUGAUGCUGGAGAACUACAGCCACCUUGUCUCAGUAGGGUAUUGCAUUCCUAAACCAGAAGUGAUCCUCAAAUUGGAGACAGGCAAGGAGCCAUGGAUAUUAGAGGAAAAAUUUCGAAGCCAGAGUCAUCUGGGUGGGUUAGUGCCAGAUGGAAUUUAAAGAAUUAAUUAAUACCAGUAGAAACUAUUCAAGAACGAAGUUCAAUGAGUUUAACAAAGGUGGAAAAUGUUUCUGUGAUGAAAGCAUGAAAUAAUUCAUUUUGAAGAGGAACCUUCUGAAUAUAAUAAAAAUGGGAACAGCUUCUGGCUGAAUGAAGACCUCAUUUGGCAUCAGAAGAUUAAAAAUUGGGAGCAACCUUUUGAAUACAAUGAAUGUGGGAAAGCUUUCCCUGAGAAUUCACUCUUCCUUGUACAUAAGAGAGCUUACACAGGACAGAAAACAUGCAAAUAUACUGAACAUGGGAAAACCUGUUAUAUGUCAUUUUUUAUUACUCAUCAGCAAACACAUCCAAGAGAGAACCACUAUGAAUGUAAUGAAUGUGGAGAAAGUAUCUUUGAGGAAUCCAUUCUCUUUGAACAUCAGAAUGUUUACCCAUUCAGCCAGAAUUUAAAUCCCACUCUAAUUCCGAGAACCCACUCAAUUAGCAAUAUUAUUGAAUAUAAUGAAUGUGGAACCUUUUUCAGUGAAAAAUUAGCCCUUCAUUUACAACAGAGAACACAUCCAGGGGAAAAACCUUAUGAAUAUCAUGAAUGUGGAAAAACCUUCACCCAGAAGUCAGCCCACACAAGACAUCAGAGAACACACACAGGGAAAACCCUAUGAAUGUCAUGGAUGUGGGAAGACCUUCUAUAAGAAUUCAGACCUCAUUAGAAAUCAAAGAAUUCACACAGGGGAGAGACCUUACAGAUGUCAUGAAUGGAGAAAUCCUUCAGUGAAAAGUCAUCCCUUACUCAACAUCAGAGAACACACGCGGGGAGAAAUCAUAUGAAUGUCAUGAAUGUGGGAAAACCUCGUUUAAGUCAGUUCUAACUGUGCAUCAGAAAACACACAGGGGAGAAGCCCUAUGAAUGCUAUGCAUGUGGGAACACCUUUCUUGGAAAAUCCGACCUCAUUAAACAUCAGAGAAUUCACACAGGAGAAAAACCUUAUGAAUGUAAUGAAUGUGGGAAGUCAUUCUCUGAGAAGUCAACCCUUACUAAACAUCUAAGAACACACAGAUGGGAAAUCUUAUGAAUGUAUUCAAUGUGGAAAAUUUUUCUGCUGCUACUACAGUUUCACAGAACAUCUGAGAAGACACACAGGGGAGAAACCUUUUGGAUGUAAUGAAUGUGGGAAAACCUUCCAUCAGAAGUCGGCCCUAAUUGUUCACCAGAGAACUCAUAUAAGACAGAAACCCUAUGGAUGUAAUGAAUAUGGAAAAUCAUUCUGUGUGAAGUCAAAACUCAUUGCACAUCAUAGAACAUACAAAGGGGAGAAACCCUAUGAAUGUAAUGUUUGUGGAAAAUUAUUAUUAAGUCAAAACUAACUGUACAUCACAGAACACACUUGAGGUGAAACCCUAUAAAUGUAGUAAGUGAGGGAAAUUACUCUGGGUGAAGUCAGAACUUUGUAGAGCAGAGAACAUAAAGGGUGAGAGAAAUCUGUUAAUAUAAUGAUAAUGAGAACACCUUUGCCCUGAAGUCAGUUCUCACAGUAGAGAAGAGAACUUAAAGAGGGAAAAAACAAUAUGAAGAUAUGGAAUGCAGGAAAACAUUAUUCUGGGAUUUGGGCCAUAGAUUAUGUUUAAAAACUAAAAGUGAAAAACACUUAUUGGUGAAUGAAUAUAGGAAACAUUUUGCUCAAUGCCACACCUCAGUAAACAUCAGAGAGUUCACACAGGGUGAAACCUGGCUCAGCAUCCCUAAGUUGAGAAGGGAUGCAUUUUUUUUUGCUACUACUACAGUUUCACAGAAUAUCUGAGAAGACACACAGGGGAGAAACUUUUUGGGUGUAAUGAAUGUGGGAAAACCUUUCACCAGAAGUGAGCCCUAAUUGUUCACCACAGAACUCAUAUAAGACAGAAACCCUAUGGAUGUAAUGAAUGUGGAAAAUCAUUCUGUGUGAAGUCAAGAGGCCACAGAAAAUGCACAAACUAUAGGAAAGCAUUUACUAUGAGGUUAUAUUUUAUAGAGUAUAUGUAAUAAGAAGUACCUUCUUAGUGAACAUCAGAUAGUAGAGGAAGUAUUUUUAACUGUAUCCAAUGUGUGGACAUUUUAGGUUAAAAUCUAAAUUUAAUAUAGACCAGAGGUGUUGAAUUGCAGGAUAUCUAGCAAUUUAAGAAAAUGUAGAGAAAAGGUUUUUUUUGUUUUUU
rnacentral:lncRNA from 1 species